UUUUGUCACUCGCUUGUACGUAAUUUUCGGGAAACGCGAAUCUGUUUAAACGUCGGCGAAACACGCAGAUUCAUAAAACGAUUGGAGAUAUACGGCCGCCUACACGAGUAGUAAAUCCGAAGCUCGGCCGCCGGUGUACCAAGAGGUCAAAUUUUAUUGAUUAACCCGUAAAAUACUUUUGUUUGUGACAUGAAUUAUAUACGAUAAAUACGCAUAUAUUCUACACGAUAGUAGGAAAAACGUUUGAAAUUAAUCGCAAAUUGUUUUUUC